CAGGACCGAGUCCAGCCGAGCUGCUCCUGCUGCCAGAAACCAUAGGAGGAGUUUCUAUUUACAAGAGUCUAGAAGAACUCUCUGGAACUGGGAGACGCAGCAGAGUAGAUGAUCUGGAUCACAUUAUUUAAUAAAACAUUUUCUGAGAUUCUGGAUAAUUUUAGUGAUCAGGAAUGAGAUUCUGGAUCAUUUCUUCAAACCAGAACCCAUAAAGACUUUGAAAGAAACGAUCUGCUGAACCAAAAUGAUCUAAGCGAUGACCUGAUCCCCCAGCAGCCAUCUGAAUGUAUGAAGGUAUGUGCCCCCCCCCCACGACAUUUUAUUUCAUUAAAAAGCCUUCCAGCUUCUUCUGGACUGAGGAUUAUUAUACGCUGUGGAAUCAAACCAACUUCCAUUAAAUCAAUAAGGUUUUUCAGAUGGCGGGGCUCAGGGUGCCCCCCCCUCGCUCCUUUAAGUCUAUGUAGUCACUUUUAGUCAGUUCCUGGAGGCCAAUCAGAUGCUGAUAACGUUAUCUGAGCACGGAGACACACAGAAACUCAACCGUGAGGCUGAAUGGAGCAGAUAAGAGGCCCCGCCCCUCGUGGCGUUUAUUGGACUCCUGGAUAGCUGGAAGAAGCUUCAGGUCGUGUGAUCGGAAAAUUUUUCCGAUCAAAUGAAAAGAAAAGAACAAAGUAAUCCUGCAAAGCAUUAUGGGAAGUCUGAACUCAUUGGAGGAAACUGUCAAAGACUUUAGAGGUUUUGCUUCUUUUACUCUUUUAAAAUGUAACUUGUGGACAGAAAUAUCAGGAAAACACUAGAAGUUGGUGAAAUACUGUCACUGCCUUCAUCUGCAGCAUCUGCCCGCAGUCAUCAUCACCUCACAGAUAUUUUCAGGGUUUUCUAAAGUGCAGUUCCUCACCGGUACCAGUAGGGGGCGUCGUUGGGGACACCGGCCUGGUUCAGGCUCCUUUGGGCCAGGGCCUUCUUCUUGUUUAGGACAAACUCUUGGAGACGCAUCUUCACCUCCGUGCUCGCCACGGCGCCUGAUGGCGGAACGGGAGAUUGGUUUGAAAAACAGGAAAAUGUUAUUUUUCUUUUUUCUAAAUUCUACUUUUCAUAUUUUAAAUAAAGUCUGUUAGAAAUCUG